CUUCAUGUGAUGGAUGAAACUCACGUGAUAAAUCAGGUGAAGGAGGACGUGUGCUACGUGUCGCAGCAGUUCUUUAAAGACAUGGAGAUAUCCCAGAUGAAGGGCGAGGAGAACACGGUGGUCAGGGAUUACGUUCUCCCAGAUUUCAGCUCCAU